CGUCUAGGCGGCCUUUUAAGUCUGAUGUGAAAAUGCGGGGCUCAACUCCGUAUUGCGUUGGAGACUGGAAGGCUAGAGUAUCAGAGAGGUGGGCGGAACUACAAGUGUAGAGGUGAAAUUCGUAGAUAUUUGUAGGAAUGCCGAUUGGGAAGCCAGCUCACUGGAUGAAUACUGACGCUGAAGCGCGAAAGCGUGGGGAGCAAACG
rnacentral:rRNA from 1 species